GGGUCAGUAGGUUGGUCGUGCCACCGGUACGUACUGGUCUCACUGAUUCCUCCUUCCUGAAGAACCGUAAUGCCAUUAUUUUGGUGGUGCGGGGGAACAGGACUGUUACUUUGAAAAAAUUAGAGUGUUUAAAGCAAGCUAACGCUUGAAUACAUUAGCAUGGAAUAAUGAAAUAGGACGAUCGGUCCUAUUUUGUUGGUUUCUAGGAUUGACGUA
rnacentral:rRNA from 1 species